UGGGGAAUUUUGGACAAUGGGCGCAAGCCUGAUCCAGCCAUGCCGCGUGCGGGAAGAAGGCCUUCGGGUUGUAAACCGCUUUUGUCAGGGAAGAAAUCUUCUGAGUCAAUACCUCGGGAGGAUGACGGUACCUGAAGAAUAAGCACCGGCUAACUACGUGCCAGCAGCCGCGGUAAUACGUAGGGUGCAAGCGUUAAUCGGAAUUACUGGGCGUAAAGCGUGCGCAGGCGGUUUUGUAAGACAGAGGUGAAAUCCCCGGGCUCAACCUGGGAACUGCCUUUGUGACUGCAAGGCUUGAGUGCGGCAGAGGGGGAUGGAAUUCCGCGUGUAGCAGUGAAAUGCGUAGAUAUGCGGAGGAACACCGAUGGCGAAGGCAAUCCCCUGGGCCUGCACUGACGCUCAUGCACGAAAGCGUGGGGAGCAAACAGGAUUAGAUACCCUGGUAGUCCACGCCCUAAACGAUGUCAACUGGUUGUUGGGAAGGUUCCUUCUCAGUAACGUAGCUAACGCGUGAAGUUGACCGCCUGGGGAGUACGGCCGCAAGGUUG
rnacentral:rRNA from 1 species